rnacentral:misc_RNA from 1 species
UAAAGGUGCAUGAGUGGUGUUUGGUUUGAUACGGGUGGUCGGCUCCCUGCUUGAGCAGGCACGGCCACGCGUGCAUUCCUUUUCAGCUGUGCGGCAAGGCUUGUAUCGUCUUGAUCGUAUAAGUGGGUUUCCUGUGUUGCAUACCUGAUCAAUGGCAUGGUUUUGAUCAAAAGCAUACCUUUUUCGUCUAGCGUUGCACCCGCAUCGUUGGAGGAGUCGAGCAGCAUCCUUUUUGAUCCAUACAGUUGAUGUUCAUUCGUUGAUUGUUUGGCCCAUUGAGGGUGGCUUGGUCUCUUGAAUAUGGAAGCCAAAGUGGGCAUGGGAUCGCAAGAUCCCUUUACUGCCCUUAUUGAGCGUUCUCGCUUCUCUUACACGACCGCCUUUCAUGUAUGGCACGUCCCAACAUGUUUGGCUAUGUCGA